rnacentral:lncRNA from 1 species
CUUUGUUUGUUAAGAGAGGACUCUUGUUAAAACUUGUGUAAGUUUAUGUGUUCAAUCUUAUGUUAUGGAGCCCAAACUUAUGUUAUGCUAAGCACUCUUAUGUUUAUCAAUUAGUACCAAUUGGUACUCUAUGUUUAGACUUUCAUCAUCAACCAUUAUUCUAAUAAACUAAUUUCCUAGACAUUAUCAAUAGGUACUCUCUUAAACUAAUUUCCUAGACUUUAUCAAUUGGUACUCUCCUAGACUCUCACUCGACCUACACAAUAAAAGUAAUAGCAUCCACAACAAAGAUCGCAUAUAUAGUCAUAACAUAGUUAAAAGUUCUAAAUCCACAUCACAAACAAGAAACACAUCAAAAGACAUCGUUUGUCUACUUCAUAAAAAACAUAAAACAAAGUUCUAACACACCAAGCAAGUGAGGCAUCUCUACUUCACUUCUUCCUGCGUUUCUGUUUCUUUGCUUUCUCUUGUGCUGGUGCUUCUUCUUCUGCUGCUUUAGCUUGUGCCUCCUUCACAAACUCCUCAAACGGGGCCAAUCUCCCAUCCAAUUGGUCAACCUUCUUGUCAACUGUCCUCAUCAGUUUCAUCGUUCUUUUCAGCAACUUCAUAACAUCUCCCAGUUGAAUCGACU